UACGGAGGGGGCGAGCGUUGUUCGGAAUCACUGGGCGUAAAGCGCGCGUAGGCGGCUUUGCAAGUCAGGGGUGAAAUCCUGGGGCUCAACCCCAGAAUUGCCUUUGAAACUGCAAAGCUAGAGUGUCGGAGGGGAUAGCGGAAUUGCUAAUGUAGAGGUGAAAUUCGUAGAUAUUAGCAGGAACACCGGUGGCGAAGGCGGCUAUCUGGACGACAACUGACGCUGAGGCGCGAAAGCGCGGGGAUCAAACAGG
rnacentral:rRNA from 1 species